UGGGGAAUAUUGCACAAUGGGCGAAAGCCUGAUGCAGCAACGCCGCGUGAGCGAAGAAGGCCUUUGGGUCGUAAAGCUCUGUCCGCGGGGAAGAUAAUGACGGUACUCGUGGAGGAAGCCCCGGCUAACUACGUGCCAGCAGCCGCGGUAAUACGUAGGGGGCGAGCGUUAUCCGGAAUUAUUGGGCGUAAAGAGUGCGUAGGUGGUUCUUUAAGCGUGAGGUGAAAGGCAAUGGCUUAACUAUUGUAAGCCUUGCGAACUGGAGAACUUGAGUGCAGGAGAGGUAAGUGGAAUUCCUAGUGUAACGGUGAAAUGCGUAGAUAUUAGGAGGAACACCAGUGGCGAAAGCGACUUACUGGACUGUAACUGACACUGAGGCACGAAAGCGUGGGGAGCAAACA
rnacentral:rRNA from 1 species